rnacentral:tRNA from 1 species
GUGUAGCUCAGGGUUUUAGGGCACUUGCCUGGCAUGCAUGAAGCCCUGAGUUCCAACCUCAGCAC